AGUUAUGUGAUUUUGAUCUAAAAGUAAAGCAUAUUUUUUCAAAAAAGUGAUGUUUAAAAGAGUCUCCUGAAAACUUAUGAUUUUCCACA